UACAGAGGUCUCAAGCGUUGUUCGGAUUCAUUGGGCGUAAAGGGCGCGUAGGCGGCGUGACAAGUCACUUGUGAAAUCUCCGGGCUUAACCCGGAACUGCCAAGUGAUACUGUCGUGCUAGAGUGCGGAAGGGGCAAUCGGAAUUCUCGGUGUAGCGGUGAAAUGCGUAGAUAUCGAGAGGAACACCUGAGGUGAAGACGGGUUGCUGGGCCGACACUGACGCUGAGUGCGCGAAAGCCAGGGGAGCAAACGGG
rnacentral:rRNA from 1 species